GGAUGAUACCUUUGGUCCAGGCACAGAUCUUCCAGGAGGGCCUGGCAUUCCAAGACGUCCUGGUGUACCAGGCUCCCCCUAUAGAGAAGCGAAAGAACAAGAAACCGGAGGAGAAACCUGGAGUAGCUCUUCUCUUACCUUCAGGGCUCCAUCUUCUCCUGGAAGACCAGGCAGACCUGCCAGUCCUGAAGACCCUGGAUCACCCUGACAUCAGUAAAAA